UACCAGCACCCCCGAGUGGUCGGGACGAUUAUUGGGCCUAAAGCAUCCGUAGCCGGUUCUGCAAGUCCCCCGUUAAAUCCAGCUGCUCAACAGAUGGGCCGCGGAGGAUACUACAGAGCUAGGAGGCAGGAGAGGCAAGCGGUACUCAGUGGGUAGGGGUAAAAUCCGUUGAUCCAUUGAAGACCACCAGUGGCGAAGGCGG
rnacentral:rRNA from 1 species